CGGCUGGAAGAGCACCGCACGU
rnacentral:snRNA from 1 species